CCCUGGUUAGCUCAAUUGGUAGAGCGCUCCACCUGUAAUGGUGGAGCGCUCUACCAAACAAUCCGCCUGGUCCCGGGUUCGAUACCCGGACCAGGCG
rnacentral:tRNA from 1 species